rnacentral:lncRNA from 1 species
AUGGCGCCCCCUGCACCCAGGUCAGCGGUGGCCGCCACCCCCCCAGGGCGCCCCCUGCACCCAGGUCUGCGGUGGCCGCCCCCUCCCCAGGGCGCCCCCUGCACCCGGGUCAGCGGUGGCCGCCACCCCCCCAGGGCGCCCCCUGCACCCGGGUCAGCGGUGGCCGCCACCCCCCCAGGGCGCCCCCUGCACCCGGGUCAGCGGUGGCCGCCACCCCCCCAGGGCGCCCCCUGCACCCGGGUCAGCGGUGGCCGCCCCCUCCCCAGGGCGCCCCCUGCACCCGGGUCAGCGGUGGCCGCCACCCCCCCAGGGCGCCCCCUGCACCCGGGUCAGCGGUGGCCACCACCCCCCCAGGGCGCCCCCUGCACCCGGGUCAGCGGUGGCCGCCCCCUCCCCAGGGCGCCCCCUGCACCCGGGUCAGCGGUGGCCACCACCCCCCCAGGGCGCCCCCUGCACCCAGGUCAGCGGUGGCCGCCCCCUCCCCAGGGCGCCCCCUGCACCCAGGUCAGCGGUGGCCGCCCCCUCCCCAGGGCGCCCCCUGCACCCAGGUCAGCGGUGGCCGCCACCCCCCCAGGGCGCCCCCUGCACCCAGGUCUGCGGUGGCCGCCCCCUCCCCAGGGCGCCCCCUGCACCCAGGUCAGCGGUGGCCGCCACCCCCCCAGGGCGCCCCCUGCACCCAGGUCAGCGGUGGCCGCCACCCCCCCAGGGCGCCCCCUGCACCCAGGUCUGCGGUGGCCGCCCCCUCCCCAGGGCGCCCCCUGCACCCAGGUCAGCGGUGGCCGCCACCCCCCCAGGGCGCCCCCUGCACCCAGGUCAGCGGUGGCCGCCCCCUCCCCAGGGCGCCGGGAGCCGCGGCCGCCUCCCUCCCACGGUCUCCCCGCGGGACCCCCUCCCUCUCUCCCUUCCUCUCUCCUGCCCCCCCCAGGCCGGGGACGCUCCUCCUUCCGGGGCCGCCGCACCCGCGACUCUCCGCGUCCGAAGCGGCCGCGCCCCGCCCUCCCCGACUCCCCCUGCCGAGCGCAGCCCCUGGGGGGGACCCGGGGGCGGGGGACCAGGGCCGGGCCGCCCUACCUGCAGCCGGCGUCCCCCGGGGGUCCCCGGAGCCAGCGGAGACUCGGGCCGCAGCCGCGGGACGUCCCGGCGCUCCAGGCCGGAAGCGGGAGCUGCGUCGGCUCCGCCCGGGGGGGAGUGGAGGCCGGAGCCGGGGCGGGCGGGGGGAAGGGGAGGAGGGGGUCAGGGAGGGCGGGGUGCGGGGAGGAGGAGGAGCGGGGAGGGGAGCGGGGAGGACGGAGGGCGGGGAGGGGAGGUCGCGGAGGGGACCCGGGUGCCGUCCCGCCUGCCCCCUGCGGCAAGGUCUCCGCCCCCGACCCUGAGGCGUCCCAGCUCGUCGGGCUCCUAACUGGUCCGAAGGGACUCGGUGACCGUGGGAACCGGGGGAGGGAGCAGGUGUAG